UAUUAUAUUAAUCGCAAGUUAUGAUAAUUCAUAGCAGAGUUUUUUUUUAAUGAUAUUUUUUUACAAUAGGUGUUAUUUAUUUCGGGUUAUACCGACAAAUAUUUUAACACGGACUAUUGGUUUGUAGUGUACUAUAUGGAGGUGAGGUUAUUAUAAACAAAUUGCAGAUAAAUCAGAAUUGCGUUAUAAAAAUCUGUUGGAAUAAAUUUUUAUUGCAAGAUAUCCAUGGCAAGACUAUAUGGAAUAAGGUGUUUUUCCGAUAAAGAAUAAGG